GAUGAAGAACGCAGCGAAAUGCGAUAAGUAAUGUGAAUUGCAGAAUUCAGUGAAUCAUCGAAUCUUUGAACGCACCUUGCGCCCUUUGGCCAUUCCGAAGGGCAUGCCUGUUUGAGUAUCAUGAACACCUCAACUCUUUAUGGUUUUCCAUGAUGAGCUUGGACUCUGGGGGUUUUGCUGGCUCACAGUCGGCUCCUCUAAAAUGAAUCAGCUUACCAGUGUUUGGUGGGUAUCAUGGGUGUGAUAACUAUCUACGCUUGUGGUUUUUCCACCAGGUAACCUUCAGCAGUGGAGGUUCGCUGGAGCUUAUAGAUGUCUCUCCUCAGUGAGGACAGCCCUUUGAAUGUUUGAUCUCAAAUCAGGUAGGACUACCCGCUGAACUUAAGCAUAUCAAUAAGCGGAGGA
rnacentral:misc_RNA from 1 species